rnacentral:rRNA from 1 species
CCCUUAGAUGUUCUGGGCCGCACGCGCGCUACACUGACGAAUGCAACGAGCUUAUAACCUUGGCCGAAAGGUCUGGGUAAUCUCCAAAUUUCGUCGUGAUGGGGAUAGAUUAUUGCAAUUAUUAAUCUUGAACGAGGAAUUCCUAGUAAACGCAGAUCAUCAAUCUGCAUUGAUUACGUCCCUGCCCUUUGUACACACCGCCCGUCGCACCUACCGAUUGAAUGGUCCGGUGAAGCCUCGAGAUUGUGGCUAGCUUGCUUCAUUGCGAGUUAGUUGCGAGAACUUGUCUAAACCUUAUCAUUUAGAGGAAGGUGAAGUCGUANCA